GCAUCAAACAAAAGGUCUUUUAGGAGGUUUGUUGAAACUUACCUAGAGGAAGCGGUGUUUGUUUAUGUUGACCAACUUUUAACACAGAAAAACUACAUCAAGGAGGGACUUGAACUGGAAACUCAUUAUCCUGCAGCAACGAAUCCUCUUACGGGCCACCCAAAACCGAGUACACCAACAAGGCUGUGAGAAACACGAAACCGAUGUUCAAUUUUUCACUGCAGUAAAAAGAUUCAGAUUAAUAGUGAAGCAGUUAAAAUUCCAAAAAAAAUUCCCAAAUCGGGAUUAAGACAAAAGCGAUUAGAAAAAGCUAAGUUCAGAAUACCUUUUCAAAUUGCAGCAUCAAAC
rnacentral:lncRNA from 1 species